rnacentral:rRNA from 1 species
GACGUAGGGCGCGAGCGUUGUCCGGAUUUAUUGGGCGUAAAGAGCUCGUAGGCGGCUUGUCGCGUCGACUGUGAAAUCCCGAGGCUCAACUUCGGGCUUGCAGUCGAUACGGGCUGGCUGGAGUGUGGUAGGGGAGAUCGGAAUUCCUGGUGUAGCGGUGAAAUGCGCAGAUAUCAGGAGGAACACCGGUGGCGAAGGCGGAUCUCUGGGCCAUUACUGACGCUGAGGAGCGAAAGCGUGGGGAGCGAACAGG